rnacentral:rRNA from 1 species
AUGUACAUGCCUACAAUGUUAAUGCAACAGAUCCUAUGAAAACUCCGUAGUUAAGUGGUCUUGGGCUACAGUAGUACUAGGAUGAGUGACCACCCAGGAAGUCCUAGUGUUUUACAUG